rfam:Danio rerio chromosome 15, GRCz11 reference primary assembly.
CUUUUCCUCACUUGUAAAUCGCUUUGGACAAAAGCGUCUGCUAAAUGACUAAUU